UGGGGAAUCUUCCGCAAUGGACGAAAGUCUGACGGAGCAACGCCGCGUGAGUGAAGAAGGUUUUCGGAUCGUAAAACUCUGUCUUUUGGGGCGAACGUGAGUAUGGUGAACAAUCAUAGUCAGUGACGGUACCAAAGGAGGAAGCCACGGCUAACUACGUGCCAGCAGCCGCGGUAAUACGUAGGUGGCAAGCGUUGUCCGGAAUUAUUGGGCGUAAAGAGCGCGUAGGCGGGAUAGUCAGUCUGUUGUAAAGUGCGGGGCUCAACCCCGUGAUCGCAAUGGAAACAGCUAUUCUUGAGUGCAGGAGAGGAAAGUGGAAUUCCCAGUGUAGCGGUGAAAUGCGUAGAUAUUGGGAGGAACACCAGUGGCGAAGGCGACUUUCUGGACUGUGUCUGACGCUGAGGCGCGAAAGCCAGGGGAGCGAACGGGAUUAGAUACCCCGGUAGUCCUGGCCGUAAACGAUGGGUACUAGGUGUGGGAGGUAUCGACCCCCUUCCGUGCCGGAGUUAACGCAAUAAGUACCCCCG
rnacentral:rRNA from 1 species